rnacentral:rRNA from 1 species
UGCCAGCAGCCGCGGUAAUACGGAGGGUGCGAGCGUUAAUCGGAAUUACUGGGCGUAAAGCGCAUGCAGGUGGUGUGUUAAGUCAGAUGUGAAAGCCCGGGGCUCAACCUCGGAACCGCAUUUGAAACUGGCAUACUAGAGUACUGUAGAGGGGGGUAGAAUUUCAGGUGUAGCGGUGAAAUGCGUAGAGAUCUGAAGGAAUACCAGUGGCGAAGGCGGCCCCCUGGACAGAUACUGACACUCAGAUGCGAAAGCGUGGGGAGCAAACAGGAUUAGAAACCCCCGUAGUCC